rnacentral:rRNA from 1 species
UACGUAGGGUGCGAGCGUUAAUCGGAAUUACUGGGCGUAAAGCGUGCGCAGGCGGUGAUGUAAGACAGAUGUGAAAUCCCCGGGCUCAACCUGGGAACUGCAUUUGUGACUGUAGAGCUGGAGUACGGUAGAGGGGGAUGGAAUUCCGCGUGUAGCAGUGAAAUGCGUAGAUAUGCGGAGGAACACCGAUGGCGAAGGCAAUCCCCUGGACCUGUACUGACGCUCAUGCACGAAAGCGUGGGGAGCAAACAGG